rnacentral:rRNA from 1 species
AUCCGCACGAGCGCACCCCUGUCUUAGUUGCCAUCGGUUGAUAGCGGGCACUCUCCGAUAGACUGCCCGGGAUAACGGGGAGGAAGGUGGGGAUGACCUCAAGUCAGCGAUGGCCUUUAUGCCUGGGGCUACACACGUGCUACAGAUGGCCGGUACAAAGGGUUGCAAUCCCGCAAGGGGGAGCCAAUCCCAAAAAACNGGCCUCAGUUCAGAUUGUGGUCUGCAACCCGACCACAUGAAGGUGGAAUCGCUAGUAAUCGCGGAUCAGCACGCCGCGGUGAAUACGUUCCCGGGUCUUGUACACACCGCCCGUCACACCACGAAAGUCAGCUGUACCUGACGUCGCUGGAGCUAACCCGCAAGGGAGGCAUGUGCCCACGGUAUGGUUGGUGAUUGGGGUGAAGUCCUAACAAGGUAGCCGUAGAGGAACCUGCGGCUGGAUCA